CCUGCAAAUGUUUGGGCAACCCUCUAUCUGGAGAGAGUGUAAACUUGGGAGUAGACUCUUCAUGUCACGUGGUAAUGCCUCCAACUUUGAGCAAUUUGUGACUUGAAGAUGAGUCAAGUUAGGUGCAGCCAGUCCUUCUCCUGCAAAUGACACUAAUUCAGGGCAUUCAUAGAUGAUGACACGUUGAAGAGCAGCAAGUGGUGCCUCUGACGUUGACACUGAUUCCAGAUUCCUACAUUCUCUUAUCUCGAGAUUCUUGAGAUUGGGAAAGACAUCCAACGACAAGGAGGUCAGUGAAUCACACCUGUCUUGUAUUUGUAGCUCUACCAAAUCAUAUUUCUGCUGUUGUUGUUGAAGAAAUUCCAGUUUUCUGCAAUGACUUAUCUCCAGAUGAGUCAAGUUGGGUGCAGCCAGUCCUUCUCCUGCAAAUGACACUAAUUCAGGGCAGCAUAUAGUAAGAUGAGUCAAGUUGGGUGCAGCCAGUCCUUCUCCUGCAAAUGACACUAAUUUGUCGCAACUAGAGAUAGUAAGAUGAGUCAAGUUGGGUGCAGCCAAUCCUUCUCCUGCAAAUGACACUAAUUUCGAGCACCUAAAGAUGGUGACUUCUUUAAGAGCAGCGUGUGGUGCCUCUGACAUUGACACUGAUUCCAGGUUCCUACAAUUAUAUAUCUUGAGAUUCUUGAGAUUGGGAAAGACAUCCAAUGACAAGGAGGUCAGUGAAUCACAGCUGGAAUCUAUUUGUAGCUCUACCAAAUCAUACUUCUGCUGUUGUUGUUGAAGAAAUUCCAGUUGUCUGCAAUGCAAGAUUCUCAGAUUUUGCAGAGAUUUAGGUGGUGGCUCUGACAUUGACACUGAUUCCAGAUUUAAACACCCUUUUAUCUCGAGAACUUUGAGACUGGGAAAGGCAUCCAACGAAAACGAGAUCAGUGAUGAACACUCUGAGAUUUCUAUUUCUUGGAGGCAACUUAGAUGGUUGAUGCUCAUCAUUGCCUUAAUUGCAGACUCCACCAUAGAUUCACAACCGCUAAAUGAUAAAAUAUCCGCCGAGAAUAGCAUCUGUAGAAACCUUCCUUUGUCAUCUUGUCUUAUUUCCAGUUUGCGAACUUCUGAAACAUCCAUUGAGGAAGAAACAAUUCUCACUAAUACAUGAUUGAGCAUAUCUCCCUUUAACAUUGGACAAUCUAUUAUUUGAAGAGUCUUAAGCUGAGGAAAAGCUUUUGAGUCAGGUCCUUAAGAGAUGGUAGCUGUCCAAGUGAAGGCAGCAUGCAACAGUUCAUGCAACACUCCAACGAUACAUGUGUCAUAUUGCUGUAGGAAGAAUGCCCUAACCAAUCUGCAAACCUUGUACCCCUGUAUCCCCUUAUUCUCAACUCUUUCAAGCCAUUGUGCGGUUCUAAGCUGUGGAGUAUCUCUCUUUCAGUUUGUGUAUCUGAAACCAUAUCACCACCUGAAGACCACUCCAAGAAUAAUUUGCUGAUGAGAUUCUUGUUUAUCA